rnacentral:lncRNA from 10 species
UCUGAGCAUCAGCCAGAGAUCACUGAUUGGUUCACAGGAAUAAGCAGGGUUACUCUAAACUGCUUGAAAAGGAAACCUCAAAAACAACUGAUGAAACUAGAAUUUAAUAACAAGUGUACCAUAAUUCUUGAAACAUAAUUUUUCUCUCUCUAGUCUUUCAUUUUUACCAAAGACAAAUCAUGGAGGCUGGGUGAGUCAAGUGAACACUUAGGAAGUUCAGAAAGUGAAGACUUGUGUCCUUGAAUUAAGUAGUCAAGCAUAAACUUCAAGAAAGACGAUGGAUAAGAAAGAAGAAGCAGUAGUUUUGAUGUUAAGCAACUAAAUGGAGCAGAGAAUAAAGGGGAGCAAAAACUGAGAAAGUGGAGGAAAACUC